UGCCCAGCAACUCCUAUCCCUACCUCCUCGUAAUACUGGCCGGGGUAUGAGUCUCCUAAGGGAAGAUCGGGUAACCAAUCCCGGUGGAAGCUUUGGUCGUAUACUGACAGGAAAGG
rnacentral:ribozyme from 1 species